CACUUUGAUUAAAUUUUGUAGAACUGUGUUGUAGCUGGAAUCUAAUUGGCUUAGAGUUAUGUGCAUAAUGUAGUUUUAAACUGUUAGUUUCAAAAGCCAAUUAGGACAAAUGGCUCUGCUCUUUGUGAUUGCUUUUUGGCUGUUAUCUUUUAAUUUUCCACUUAUGUAUUUUUGUCUUAUGAAAUUUUAUAACAAUAUGAUUGUUUUAGUUCUGGGGAGUAUUUCAACCUAUUUAUAUAUUUAAUUGGCAUCUUUUAGAUGGUUGGGAUUUUCUAGGUCCUGUCAGAGUUCUAUGCAUUCACUAAAUUUUCUAUGAUAUGCGACAAAUUUCGGAAAGCAUGUUAUUUAUCUAAAAUGACCAAGAGUUGAAUGGCACUCUUGUUAGACAUUUGGCUUUGGAUAUCUUUGAAGAAAUCAUUAUUGCUCCAGCUUCUUGUUUCGGAAUAGAUUCUUAUAACUUGGCAUUGGAGUCUCAGCUCAAAUAUUCUAAUCACGCUCUUUCAUAAAACUCGCAUUCAUGUGUAGUUUCUGAUUGUCUUAUUGUUUAUUAGGGACUCAACAAGUCACUGAUAGAGGGAAUAAAGAGGGAAGAGAGGAAUUGCUUGUAGUUUUACUGAGCCACAUUCAGAUCUUGAGGGUGACAAUGAGGAGUUACUUUCAGUUUGCUUUGGGUUGGAGAAUUUGUGAGUUGGUUAAUUUGUUGUAACUGUCAGGUUAGUUAGAAAUCAGAAGUUAGUUUGUUUCAGAUUUUGACAAUUUGCUGCACUAUAUCUAUUAGACUAGCUUGUUAUAACAGUUAUUUUAGUUUCAGAAGUUAGUGUCGAUUAGUUUUAAAUUCUUAUCAUUAUAGAACUUGAUAGCAAGGAAUUUGAUUCAAGAGCUGUAAUCUUGCAUGUUUCUAAAUUCUAAGUGGUAGGUUCAAUCCCCUAUUUCAGCUCUUUUCCAUUUCUUGAAGAUAAGUAUUGUUCAUAAGUGUAGCAAUGGUUGUACUAAUAAGGUGAGUUGCAGAAGGAUCUAAAUGUGGGUGUAGAUGGUAAACUAGUGAACUAGUGAAGUUAAAGUUUAUCAAUUGAUUGCCCUAAUUUCCCAGAUUAUUUAUCCAAAUGGGGUUCCAUCAUUAUUAUAAUAAUUAAUAAACAGCUUUCAUGCAAUUUCAGCAUGAGAAAGCAGAAAGCUUUUUGAGGAAGAGUGAAUAUUGAAUGGCAGGGUCAACAGGGUUUCACGUUCAGAAAUCAGAGGAGGAAUGGAGGGCCAUUCUCUCCCCUGAGCAGUUCAAGAUCCUACGCCAGAAGGGAACUGAAUUGAAGGGAGAAGUACAGUAUUUUAUUGGUGUUCAACUCGACAAUAGCCAACAUGUGGAGCCUCUUCACAACUGCAUCACAGAAAAUACUACAAAAGAAGGAGAACAACUGGUUUGGACUCUAUUCAAGUGCUUCAUUAAUUUACCAUAUACUAAGUCUCAAAUCAUUAAACUCUAUUAACAUCAUUACAUAUUCAACUUGUGCCAAAUAUUGAAGUCUUCAAAACAUAAAAAUGGUGACUUCCAUUAAAAUUUAUGUAACCUUGGUUUUGUAGAUCUUGGAUAGUGGAGAACAGGCUUAAAGCACUUUAGGCUAGUUAAACCUUUGUAAUUAGAAGAUACUGGCAGGUUUUAAUUUGUUCUUCCCUAUUACUCUUUCGUAUUUCCGACAUAUCUGAGAACUUUAUCGGUGAAUUUUCCUCUACCGAUAGCGAACAAUUCAAGAGAACUCAAUAUUUUGAAAACUUAAAUUUUAACUUCUAUAUAUUCUUUUAAAGAAGAGGCUGCCAGGUAUAAUAAUAUUAUGCUACUACAUGCACAUGUCUCCUACUUUCUUCAAGCUGACAUUAAGUUCUCAAUAUUCAUAGAUUUUAUGUUACUGAGGUCGUGGUUGCAUUGGAGUAUCUUCAUUGUCAAGAGAGUAAUAGAAGGGGAAUCGUCUAGUUCCAUUGAGAAGCAUUUAGUUUCUAUCGAGGCAAGAUUAGAAAUUUCACUUCCUUUCUUGACAAAGUUACAGUGGUAACAAAUGUUGUCAGCCUUGAUUAAAAUUGUUCUUCACACCUAUUUCAAGCUGGUUUAUUUUCUGAUUAUGAACUGAAUAGUAGAAAAAAAAUUCUGCAGUUCCAUCUUUGUUUUCUUUGUGUCUAUUGUGCAGGUUAGCACUUCGCUAUUUCGAUUUAUUAAAGUCAAUUCAUGAAAACAGAAAAAAGAUUGACAAUUCUUAUGGAUUCUGGCAGCAAAAAUAUUAGAAGGGCAUGGAUUAUAGGAAGUCAUAAUGGUGAAGACAGAAUUGCUCCACUAUUUGUGUUGAGCCUCUUUUUAAAAAAUAAAAUGGCGAAGACAGAAUUGAUGUAGGAUAUAAUAUUUUAGUUUUUGGUAGAGUAUUAGUAGUAAAUUCUAAGUGGUUUCACGUUUAUUUUGAUAUAGCUAUGCUUAAUUUAGCAUGAGAUGUAUGAAUAUUAAUACUUUUGGAUCAUUAUAAAUAUAUUUUAUUUACAGAUAA